rnacentral:rRNA from 1 species
AGCGAACGUUAGCGGCGCGCCUAACACAUGCAAGUCGCACGAGAAAGGGGGCAACCCCCGGUACAGUGGCGCACGGGUGAGUAACACGUGGAUUACCUGCCCUGGAGUGGUGGAUAACCUGCCGAAAGGUGGGCUAAUACAGCAUGAGACCACGCAGUUUCGACUGUGAGGUCAAAGCGGGCUGAUGUUUACAAGCUCGCGCUCUAGGCUGGGUCCGCGGCCCAUCAGCUAGUUGGUAGGGUAACGGCCUACCAAGGCAACGACGGGUAGCUGGUCUGAGAGGAUGAUCAGCCACACUGGAACUGAGACACGGUCCAGACUCCUACGGGAGGCAGCAGUGGGGAAUCUUGCGCAAUGGACGAAAGUCUGACGCAGCGACGCCGCGUGGGUGACGAAGGCCUUCGGGUUGUAAAGCCCUGUGGGGAGAGACGAACCGGCUCAUGGCUAAUAUCCAUGGGUCUUGACGGUAUCUCCUUAGCAAGCAUCGGCUAACUCUGUGCCAGCCGCCGCAGUAACAC